GUGCAUUUACAAAACUUAAGCUAGACACAGAGCACUGAUUGGUGUGUUUAUAAUCCUUUAGCAAGACAGAAAAGUUCUCCAAGUCCCCACCCGACCCAGAAGACCAGCUGGCUUCACCUCUCACUUCCAUGCUGCCAAGACCCCUAAGACUCCCAGAGCCUCCUUCCUCGGCUCCUCACUGCCCCUUCCCGCCCUACUCCAUGCCUCCAUGUUUUCCCCAGGACCCAAGGCCAGACUUCGCUCUGAGCUCCCUGACGCUUUGGGCUGAGGCCAGGCCCUGAUAUACCGGUACUGCAGGAAAAGAAAGGAAAAGAAUCCAGAAGGCUCCUCCUGGGCUUGCACAAAUUCCCCUCUGCUUGGUCUGAAGAGGCACGUACUAGGAGAGUGCACAGGGCUCAGGGCAGGUCCUGGGGCACUUCUCCCGCUGGCCCUGGAUGAGUCAGCACCUCAGGCGCAUGCAGUAGGUGCUCAAGACUCAGAUCCCUCCUCUUGUCUAGGCCUCCAGUUGGCCCGGAUUCUGGGGGCCCUAGGGGACCCCCUCCCUCCCCUUCUGGCUUUUGCUCACACACACUGGACCUGAUAAAAGUUCCAGCAUGAUUUAUCAAACACCCUGGCUCCUCCAGGCUGAGCCCCUGGGGGAUUUUGAAAGGAAACAGGCUCCAUGUGCUUCCAAUCCACUCCACGCAGCUCAUUGCGCUAUUGUUCCGUCUAGCGGGGGAUGUGCGGGACACCCUGGAACCGUUCGUGGCUCUGUUUAAAGAUGUUUUUCUUAGAAGCAGGAAGUUACGUCCUGCCAAGAAGAAAUGAAAAUAAAGCCCCGAGGGUUCACUCGGGGUUCGCUGGGAGCCGCGCUGAGCUGUUGCAGCGUCUUGGCCCGGCCGAGGAGGAAGUUUAAAGGGGCCUCUGUCUAGAGCUCUGAAGGCAGGCAAGGCAGCCUGGCAGUGACCAUCAGGCAAGUCAGAGACACACGCGAGCUCUCUGCCCCAGGGGCCCUAGGGUGGCCUCACAGGGCACAGCAGAGCCCUCCUUCUCGUGAUCACGCUGCGGUCGGGUUGGCUGCUCCUUCCCAUUCGUUCCUCUGAAUCUCUGCAGAGGCCGGGGGCAUGUGGGAAGGGCCCAGGAAAACCUCAGGUCCAAAUCUUGGCUCCUUGUAUGAUAGACGUGUAUCUUGCACAAAGUACUUCACCUCUCUGGGCAGCAGAUGUCGUGCUGUGAACUCUGGGGCUGCUCUUCCCCCUGCCCCAGGCUUUCUUACAUACUUCCUACUAACCCCCAGCCUCCGAGGACCAGGUUCAGACAAAACUGUCUAUCAAAGUCAUUCCCUGGGUGAGUGUGACUGAACAAAAUCAACAGCCCAGCCCGGUAAUGCCAAGAGGCUCCAGGCCUCCCACAGAGGGAGGGGCUCCUCCAAGGCUGUGGGUACAGGUGUUCUUCUGGGGUUCCCAGGGCAAGCCGGGAAGGAGUACUGCAGAGCCCCACGGAAGGAUGCAUGAGCACAAUUGCUCUUUCUUGCCUCUGAGGAAACUUCUUGGCAGACAGUGUAGAAUUCAUUUCUACCUCUUUUCAUUCAUUCAACAAGUACUGAGAGCCUUCCAUUUGCUUAAUAAGAAAAAGGGGCUAGGACUUUGAAAGCCAAAACUGUUUCUGUCAUUUACUGACUUUGAGAUCUUGGAAAACUAUGUAUAAGUCUCAGUCUUCUAACUAUAGAAUGGGAAUAAAUGUCUCUACCUUUUAGGUCCUUGUAAAGAUCAAGCACUCUUGGAUGUCCCCUGCACUGCAGGGAAACGUGGCUGCUGCCUCUUCUGGUUGCCUGCAGCUCUUUGCAUAGAGUUCAUGUUAGCCUUGGUGAUUCAUGAGUGCGUGAUUGUCACCAACACGUGUUUCUGAGUGCUGCAGGGUGGGGGCUGCACUUUAUGCCUCAAGCUGUCCCCAGAUUCUGGAAGAGUCCCCUGCUCACUUGAGGGUGGGUUGAAUGAAUAACAAACUGAUUUAUUUCCUCCAUCAUGUCCUGAGAGGAUACCUGGGCUGCAAAAAUAAACAUGCCUGAGGUCUACCAGAUCUGGGCAGCAUGGUGGGACAGAGGGACAACUGAAGGCUGAUGUCGUGGUCACCUCCCAGCCAGUUGAAGGGCUGCUGGGGCACUGACGGUAGACAAGACAUCUGAAGCCAGUUAGUAAGACUCCAGGGCUUACGAAUACUGCCCAGUUCCUGAAAGUGGCGUCCUGCAGGCAAGGAGAGCACACUGUCCAAGUCAUAGUUGGAGGCACAUUGAAGGCACCAGCACCAUCUGGCCCUCUACCCCAGAACUUGGAACCAGCGGGAAUCACAGGACUAUAGGUUUCAGCUCAACCAAAGAAAGGAGUUCUCAACAAUCAGAACUGUCUGACUAUAGAAUGAGCUGCCGAGGUGUUGAGUUUCCCAGCCCUGAGGGUUUUUAUGUAAGGCACCCACAGCUAUAUUCUAGGAAUGUCUUAUUGGUGUGGUGAGUCAUGAACCACUGGAGGCUUGAUUGCGUUCCAAAGUGUGGCACAUACACGAUUGGUGGUCCAUGCGCUGAUUUUA
rnacentral:lncRNA from 10 species